UACGUAGGGGGCAAGCGUUGUUCGGAAUUACUGGGCGUAAAGGGCGCGUAGGCGGCACGGCAAGUCAGGAGUGAAAGCCCUGGGCUCAACCCGGGAACUGCUUUUGAAACUGCCGAGCUAGAGUGCGGAAGGGGCAACUGGAAUUCCCAGUGUAGCGGUGAGAUGCGUAGAUAUUGGGAAGAACACCUGAGGCGAAGGCGGGUUGCUGGGCCGACACUGACGCUGAGGCGCGAAAGCCAGGGGAGCAAACGGG
rnacentral:rRNA from 1 species